AACGCUGGCGGGGUGCCUAAUACAUGCAAGUCGAGCGAACAGACGAGGAGCUUUCUCCUCUGACGUUAGCGGCGGACGGGUGAGUAAAACGUGGAUAACCUACCUAUAAGACUGGGAUAAAUUCGGGGAAACGGAGCUAAUAACGGAUAAUAUAUUUAAACGGAUGGGUUAAUAAUUAAAAGAGGUUUUGCUUGUCCUUAUUGAUGGAUCCGGGCCGGAUUAGCUAGUUGGUAAGGGAACGGCUUACCAAGGCGACGAUGCGUAGCCGACCUGAGAGGGUGAUCGGCCACACUGGAACUGAGACACGGUCCAGACUCCUACGGGAGGCAGCAGUAGGGAAUCUUCCGCAAUGGGCGAAAGCCUGACGGAGCAACGCCGCGUGAGUGAUGAAGGUCUUCGGAUCGUAAAACUCUGUUAUUAGGGAAGAACAAAUGUGUAAGUAACUAUGCACGUCUUGACGGUACCUAAUCAGAAAGCCACGGCUAACUACGUG
rnacentral:rRNA from 1 species